AUUGAACGCUGGCGGAAUGCUUUACACAUGCAAGUCGAACGGCAGCACGGACUUCGGUCUGGUGGCGAGUGGCGAACGGGUGAGUAAUGUAUCGGAACGUGCCCAGUCGUGGGGGAUAACGUAGUGAAAAUUACGCUAAUACCGCAUACGAUCUAUGGAUGAAAGCGGGGGAUCGCAAGACCUCGCGCGAUUGGAGCGGCCGAUAUCAGAUUAGGUAGUUGGUGGGGUAAAGGCCCACCAAGCCAACGAUCUGUAGCUGGUCUGAGAGGACGACCAGCCACACUGGAACUGAGACACGGUCCAGACUCCUACGGGAGGAAGCAGUGGGGAAUUUUGGACAAUGGGCGAAGGCCUGAUCCAGCCAUUCCGCGUGCAGGAUGAAGGCCCUCGGGUUGUAAACUGCUUUUGUACAGAACGAAAAGGUUUCUACUAAUACUAGGAGCUCAUGACGGUACUGUAAGAAUAAGCACCGGCUAACUACGUGCCAGCAGCAGCCGCCG
rnacentral:rRNA from 1 species